GAUGAACGCUGGCGGCGUGCCUAAUACAUGCAAGUCGAGCGAACAGACGAGGAGCUUGCUCCUCUGACGUUAGCGGCGGACGGGUGAGUAACACGUGGAUAACCUACCUAUAAGACUGGGAUAACUUCGGGACACCGGCGCUAAUACCGGAUAAUAUAUUGAACCGCAUGGUUCAAUAGUGAAAGACGGUUUUGCUGUCACUUAUAGAUGGAUCCGCGCCGCAUUAGCUAGUUGGUAAGGUAACGGCUUACCAAGGCAACGAUGCGUAGCCGACCUGAGAGGGUGAUCGGCCACACUGGAGCUGAGACACGGUCCAGACUCCUACGGGAGGCAGCAGUAGGGAAUCUUCCGCAAUGGGCGAAAGCCUGACGGAGCAACGCCGCGUGAGUGAUGAAGGUCUUCGGAUCGUAAAACUCUGUUAUUAGGGAAGAACAAAUGUGUAAGUAACUAUGCACGUCGUGACGGUACCUAAUCAGAAAGCCACGGCUAACUACGUG
rnacentral:rRNA from 1 species